rnacentral:rRNA from 1 species
AGGAUGAACGCUGGCGGCGUGCCUAACACAUGCAAGUCGAACGUCCUGUCUCGCAAGAGGCAGGGAGUGGCGGACGGGUGAGUACCACGUGGGUCAUCUACCGUGAGGUGAGGAAUACCGGCGAGAAAUCGCCGACAAGACCGCAUAGGCUCGAUGCAAGUCGAGCAAAGCUCUUUCGAGAGAGGGAGCGCCACACGAGGAGCCUGCGCCCGAUUAGCUAGCUGGUGGAGUAACGGUUCACCAGGGCGACGAUCGGUAGCUGGUCUGAGAGGACGAUCAGCCACACUGGGAUUGAGAACGGCCCAGACUCCUACGGGGGGCAGCAGUGAGGAAUUUUCGUCAAUGGGGGCAACCCUGAACGAGCAACGCCGCGUGCAGGAGAAGGUUUUCGGAUCGUAAACUGCUUUUCUCGGGAAGAGAAUGGACGGUACCCGAGGAAUCAGCCCCGGCUAACUACGUGCCAGCAGCCGCGGU